AUUGAACGCUGGCGGCAGGCCUAACACAUGCAAGUCGAACGAGUGGCGGACGGGUGAGUAAUGUCUGGGCAACUGCCUGAUGGAGGGGGAUAACUACUGGAAACGGUAGCUAAUACCGCAUACCAUCAGAUGUGCCCAGAUGGGAUUAGCUAGUAGGUGAGGUAACGUCUCACCUAGGCGACGAGCCCUAGCUGGUCUGAGAGGAUGACCAGCCACACUUGACCUGAGACACGGUCCAGCCUCCUACGGGAGGCAGCAGUGGGGAUUAUUGCGCACUGGGUGCAAGCCUGAUGCAGCCAUGCCGCGUGUAUGAAGAAGGCCUUCGGGUUGUAAAGUACUUUCAGCGGGGAGGCGUUACCCGCAGAAGAAGCACCGGCUCACUCCGUGCCAGCAGCCGCGGUAAUUC
rnacentral:rRNA from 1 species